UGUGUGAUUCUUUAGGUAUCAUCCUCUUUUCAUAAGCAGAGAUGCAUGCUUAGAUGUGAAGAAUGAGAGAGUGAUCCAAAGAACAUCCACACAUGAAAAAUGCCCAGAUCAUGACUGAAAAGUUCAGGGAAAAACAAAGGAAUAAGAAGACAAGAAAAAAAGUGAUGCAUUGAGAGGUGAAGCAUUUUGUACAUCAGAAGAUCAUGUGUGGUAUACUCUUCUUCUUCACAUGAUCCAUUGUCUACAGCCAAGCACUGAGGUACAACCGCAUCUGCUCCCUCAGACAGAGACCAACACCUACAAAAUCUUCACCAAGAAUUCUCAAAACUACGAUACC